rnacentral:rRNA from 1 species
UACGUAGGUGGCAAGCGUUAAUCGGAAUUACUGGGCGUAAAGCGUGCGCAGGCGGUUUUGUAAGCCAGAUGUGAAAUCCCCGGGCUUAACCUGGGAAUGGCAUUUGGGACUGCAAGGCUUGAGUGCGGCAGAGGAGACUGGAAUUCCCGGUGUAGCAGUGAAAUGCGUAGAUAUCGGGAGGAAUACCGAUGGCGAAGGCAGGUCUCUGGGCUGACACUGACGCUCAUGCACGAAAGCGUGGGGAGCAAACAGG